UACGUAGGGGGCGAGCGUUGUCCGGAGUUACUGGGCGUAAAGGGCAUGCAGGCGGUCGGACGCGUUUUGGGUGACAGCGGGUGGCUUAACUACCCGAGUGGUCGAAAGACGGUUUGACUUGAGGACGCGAGAGGGACACGGAAUUCCGGGUGGAGUGGUGAAAUGCGUAGAGAUCCGGAGGAACACCGAAGGCGAAGGCAGUGUCCUGGCGCGUGACUGACGCUGAGGUGCGAAAGCCAGGGGAGCGAACGGG
rnacentral:rRNA from 1 species